rnacentral:rRNA from 1 species
GUUGUAUGGUUAAGUGACUAAGCGUACACGGUGGAUGCCUUGGCAGUCAGAGGCGAUGAAAGACGUAGUAACUUGCGAUAAGCCCAGAUUAGGUAGUAACAACCAUUUGAGUCUGGGAUUUCUGAAUGGGGAAACCCACGUGCAUAAGCACGUAUCCUUACCUGAAUACAUAGGGUAAGGAGGCGAACCGGGGGAACUGAAACAUCUAAGUACCCCGAGGAAAAGAAAUCAACCGAGAUUCCGAAAGUAGCGGCGAGCGAAAUUGGACUAGCCCUUAAGCUUUACACGCGUUAGACGAACGGUCUGGAAAGUCCGACGAUACAGGGUGAUAGUCCCGUAGUUGACGACGUGUGUUCAGUGAAAUCGAGUAGGGCGGGACACGUGAUAUCCUGUCUGAAUAUGGGGGGACCAUCCUCCAAGGCUAAAUACUACUGACUGACCGAUAGUGAACCAGUACCGUGAGGGAAAGGCGAAAAGAACCCCUGUGAGGGGAGUGAAAUAGAACCUGAAACCGUGUACGUACAAGCAGUAGGAGCAGGCUUUGUCCUGUGACUGCGUACCUUUUGUAUAAUGGGUCAGCGACUUAUAUUCAGUGGCAAGGUUAACCAUCUAGGGGAGCCGUAGGGAAACCGAGUCUUAACUGGGCGUUCAGUCUCUGGAUAUAGACCCGAAACCAGGUGAUCUAGCCAUGGGCAGGUUGAAGGUUGAGUAACAUCAACUGGAGGACCGAACCGACUAAUGUUGAAAAAUUAGCGGAUGACUUGUGGCUAGGGGUGAAAGGCCAAUCAAACCUGGAGAUAGCUGGUUCUCCCCGAAAGCUAUUUAGGUAGCGCCUCGGACGAAUACUACUGGGGGUAGAGCACUGUUAAGGCUAGGGGGUCAUCCCGACUUACCAACCCUUUGCAAACUCCGAAUACCAGUAAGUACUAUCCGGGAGACACACGGCGGGUGCUAACGUCCGUCGUGGAGAGGGAAACAACCCAGACCGCCAGCUAAGGUCCCAAAUUACUACUAAGUGGGAAACGAUGUGGGAAGGCUCAGACAGCCAGGAUGUUGGCUUAGAAGCAGCCAUCAUUUAAAGAAAGCGUAAUAGCUCACUGGUCGAGUCGGCCUGCGCGGAAGAUGUAACGGGGCUAAGUAGUAAACCGAAGCUGCGGCAAUAUACUUUUGUAUAUUGGGUAGGGGAGCGUUCUGUAAGCGGUUGAAGGUGUGUGGUAACGCAUGCUGGACGUAUCAGAAGUGCGAAUGCUGACAUGAGUAACGAUAAAGGGGGUGAAAAACCUCCUCGCCGGAAGACCAAGGGUUCCUGUCCAACGUUAAUCGGGGCAGGGUAAGUCGACCCCUAAGGCGAGGCCGAAAGGCGUAGUCGAUGGGAAACGGGUUAAUAUUCCCGUACUUCUUACAAUUGCGAUGGGGGGACGGAGAAGGCUAGGUGGGCCUGGCGACGGUUGUCCAGGUUCAAGUGCGUAGGCUUAAGAGUUAGGUAAAUCCGGCUCUUUUUAAGGCUGAGACACGACGUCGAGCUACUACGGUAGUGAAGUCAUUGAUGCCAUGCUUCCAGGAAAAGCCUCUAAGCUUCAGAUUGUAAGGAAUCGUACCCCAAACCGACACAGGUGGUCGGGUAGAGAAUACCAAGGCGCUUGAGAGAACUCGGGUGAAGGAACUAGGCAAAAUGGUACCGUAACUUCGGGAGAAGGUACGCUCUCGACGGUGAAGUCCCUUGCGGAUGGAGCUAUUGAGAGUCGCAGAUACCAGGUGGCUGCAACUGUUUAUUAAAAACACAGCACUGUGCAAAAUCGUAAGAUGACGUAUACGGUGUGACGCCUGCCCGGUGCCGGAAGGUUAAUUGAUGGGGUUAGACUUCGGUCGAAGCUCUUGAUCGAAGCCCCGGUAAACGGCGGCCGUAACUAUAACGGUCCUAAGGUAGCGAAAUUCCUUGUCGGGUAAGUUCCGACCUGCACGAAUGGCGUAAUGAUGGCCACGCUGUCUCCACCCGAGACUCAGUGAAAUUGAAAUCGCUGUGAAGAUGCAGUGUACCCGCGGCUAGACGGAAAGACCCCGUGAACCUUUACUACAGCUUGGCACUGAACAUUGACCCUACAUGUGUAGGAUAGGUGGGAGGCUUUGAAGCAGGUACGCCAGUAUCUGUGGAGCCGUCCUUGAAAUACCACCCUUGUAGUGUUGAUGUUCUAACGUCGACCCCUUAUCGGGGUUGCGGACAGUGCCUGGUGGGUAGUUUGACUGGGGCGGUCUCCUCCCAAAGAGUAACGGAGGAGCACGAAGGUGGGCUAAUCACGGUUGGACAUCGUGAGGUUAGUGCAAUGGCAUAAGCCCGCUUGACUGCGAGAAUGACAAUUCGAGCAGGUGCGAAAGCAGGUCAUAGUGAUCCGGUGGUUCUGAAUGGAAGGGCCAUCGCUCAACGGAUAAAAGGUACUCCGGGGAUAACAGGCUGAUACCGCCCAAGAGUUCAUAUCGACGGCGGUGUUUGGCACCUCGAUGUCGGCUCAUCACAUCCUGGGGCUGAAGUCGGUCCCAAGGGUAUGGCUGUUCGCCAUUUAAAGUGGUACGCGAGCUGGGUUUAGAACGUCGUGAGACAGUUCGGUCCCUAUCUGCCGUGGGCGUUGGAAGAUUGAAGGGGGCUGCUCCUAGUACGAGAGGACCGGAGUGGACGAACCUCUGGUGUUCGGGUUGUGUCGCCAGACGCAUUGCCCGGUAGCUAAGUUCGGAAUCGAUAACCGCUGAAAGCAUCUAAGCGGGAAGCGAGCCCUGAGAUGAGUCUUCCCUGAUACUUUAAGUAUCCUAAAGGGUUGUCGGAGACUACGACGUUGAUAGGUCAGGUGUGUAAGUGCUGUGAGGCAUUGAGCUAACUGAUACUAAUUGCCCGUGAGGCUUAACCAUACAACACCCAAGGGGUUU